UUGUUUUAAAUCUUAUUAUCUUUUAAUAUCAAAAAAAAUAUUCUUAAACUUUUGUGUGUGUAUAUUUGUGUAUCCAUAAAAAUAGCUAUUAAGGCGACCAGGGAAAAAAUCAUAAUUUUGGUCAAAAAUAGCUAUAUACUAAGCAUUUUUUAUUUGUUUUACUUUAUUUAAAGCCUAUUGUAUAUUAUCCCGAAGUUUCAUUCCAUAAAAAACAGAAAUAAGGAAAUUCGAUAUUUCGUGUACCAUCAGCAUCCAAAUUUUCAAGUAUACAGAAAUUUAACUUUCCGGAAUAUAACGGAAAUUUUCGGGUAUCUCCGUGGUACCAUCUCCGUGCAAUUAUGCAGUAUGGCGUUCAUCUCUUACGGAAAGAGAAUGGUAACUUGGUAAGUGUUUAAAAUACAUAUUCAACGUUUUUUUCGUUUAUUUUUAUGACUUUUGUACAGUAGUAUAAAUCGUCCACCCUUUGGAUGAAAAGCAAAUGAUUUAUCCGGAUUUUGUUCAUCCGAAACUAAAUCACUAGUAUCAACAUCCGGUGUAAUUUUUGCUUGUAUUUUGGAGAAACUCGAUUGAUUUCUAGCAAACUUGGUUUACCACUACAUCGUCGCUUAUUAUUAUUUGUUGCUGCUUGGGACAAUAAAGUUAAGUCAGCAACCGUCUACCAGACUGCAAGAUUCAUCUCUUCCAAAGGAUGUCGUACCUUUCUAGAUACACUGUGUUUUGUGUGGAUAAGAAAUGCAGAGUGGUACCACCAAUCACCUAAGCCACCAUUCCCCUAACAGACAAUAGGCUCAUGGGGACAGUUCCUGCAAUUUACAGUAAAGUUCUCAAUUGUAGCCCUACGAACUUAAGAUACUGCCGAUGGUGAAGCUUGGGUGCACCGGGCCGGUUUUCCAGCCGUGUGGAAUCUCCAGCUGAACUGGGGCCGGGAAUUAUAUAAGACUCCUUAGCAGCAUGAGUGCCAGCCAGUCAUUGCUGUUCUUGCAUUGCUGAGGAGGACAGUCCUGCCAACAUAACAGUUUGUUCAAUAACAGGAGACAAACAGAAACACAGAGGUGCUAUACAUUCUGAUGGAAAAACAAAAGCAUCUCCCAUCAUUUUGGCGUGGCUCAGAUCAAGAGGAGAAUUUUAAGAAAGGUGAUGGUUGGGCACACACAAGAAGACAUAGAUCACAGGUGUCUAGCCAUAUGAGUAGAUAGGAGUGUCACACUCUGCCAAACUUACUUCAUCAGACGAGCAGAAAGCUUCUCAAGAUCCCGCACUGCACACUAAGACAUAGUCUUUGACUACAACAAGGUGAUGAAAGUACAGAGGUCCAAUUGAAAUCAAUUCUGUGCUGCUGUCAUUUCUUCAUUCUGGAAGUCGAUGGACAUGAUUUAUUAUGGCAUCAAGUGUGCAGUUUGCCGACUAUCAGCAGUCUUGUUCACCAGCUGUGCAACUUGAGCUGGUAGCUUUAUUGCUUAAAGCCACUGCAUAAGAGGGGGAAGGUGCAGGCUCAUCAAAAAGUCUCAAAAGUUGAAACUAGGAAAAGAAGUUUAUCAAGAGUGUGAAUCUAUUUUGAAAACAAUCGUUACAAUGAUUUGGUUUCCUUUGAAACUUCAUACAUACUAUGAAUUGAGAUGCUUAAAUAAAAAACCGCUAUUCAAAUAUCAGGAAACUGCCUUUUUCAUACUAAAGGGUAAAUGAUGUCGCCAUUUCCUGUAUGUAUUUAAAUAAGAUAUGUCUCCACAAUUAAUAUUUUUAGGGAAUUUUUCUCAACCUAAUGAAUGAGAUUAAAUUGUACAGCGUUAUAUGAGGUUAAUAUGUUUUCUCAUUCUUUAAAAUUGGUGAAAAAUUUUCAGAAGAUAAUUAGACCAGUAUCCAUUACUGCAAUCAUACAAUCAAAUAUACAGGGACAAGCCCACUGGGCAUAUAAUAUAAUUAAACCCUGUUUAGGGGCACGAGGCAAACAGAGUUACUUUCAAACAAUAAAGCUGCACUCUCACACUUUGGAUGUUUUGACAACUUUUUUCAUUUUAUGUCUUGGAUUGGAACCAUCCAAUUUUUGCGAACAAUUAAAUCCCAGAUUUUUCUAUUUAAGUUAAAACAUUGAUAUUUUUUAUGCACUUUUCUUAAACCGUUAGUAACAUUAAUUUUCGAACGGAAAUAUGAAAUCUGCGAUCUGAUCUUUUGUCAGCAAUCUUUUAUCAUUGGUUUGCAGAUAAAUACGCAAAAACUUGCUCAUUCGAAGACAAAAAAAGUUGUGGAAAUGGUAUAUCUGUGAGAGCUGCAGCUCUAAAUGUUUAAUUGCUUGAUUUUACUACUGUAUUAGAAAUUACAGGGAUUGGGGUAUAUUUUUAGUGUUUUUAUUGCUUGUUUUUGAUUCAUACAGUCAUACUUUAUACUUCAGGGCACAACUUACAAAUAAACAAAACUGGAAAAUGGUCAUAUCAAAAGGUCAAAGAUAAUGCAAGUUGAACAAUCAUAUUGUUCAUGGCUUGUAUUUUUGGUAUAUUUUGUUGCAUAUGCUAUAGAAAAGUUGAAAGUUAAAAAUAAAUUCAUAGUUGAAAUGAUGGCUUUGAAUGAUAUUGUCAGAUGAGAAACGGCACUAUUAAGAAAUAGGUAUAAUGGUACUUUAUUUAUUUUAAUCAAUUUUAGAUAUUAUGAAAAUUAUUAUCUUAUUUUGUACAUGAGACCUUUUAAACAGUUAUUGACAAUAUAACAAUGUGUAUAUGAAGCUUUAGAUCAAAACUUAAAGCUGCACUUUCACAGAUUGUCAGUUUAGACACAAAAUUGUCUCAAAAUCGGCUGAUUUGGUUAUCAUUCCUUUAAUUCAGUCAUAUUAGAUAAUUCACAAUAGAACCAAUCAAAAAUGUUUGGUAAAACUGCCGAAAAAGUAAUUUACAUUAAAUUGUUUGUAUGCUUUUAGUCAUAAAACAUCAUUUUUUUAACAUAAAUAUGAUGAACUGCAAUCUGAUCUUUUUUCAGCAGUCUUAUAUCACUUAAAAUUGGGUCUAGACAUUUCUGCAAAAAAAUACUCCAUUUAUUGACAAACAAUAAAAGAGUACCGGUAGUCAAAACGAUCAUUCGGUGAGAUUGCAGCUUUAAAUACACCUUUUAAGACCGCCGUAAAAUUCCAAUGGUUUGCCUAAAUCUUUAAAGCUAGCAUACUGUUUAAUUGACAACCAUACUUAUUGUUUAAAAUAUGUCAUGAUAUCUUUGUACAAUGUGUUUAUAUAAUUCAUUAAAGAAGUCAAAACAAA